rnacentral:lncRNA from 1 species
CAAGUGACCUGAUCUGUGAUCAUGUGCUUGAACGAAAACAAUUGCAGCGUGGAAGGUGUUUAUAAGCCAUUUAAGAAACACCCAAUAACCGUUAGAUUCGCUUCAACAUUUACAUUUAAUUUGCGAA